AACGAACGCUGGCGGCAUGCCUAACACAUGCAAGUCGAACGAGACCUUCGGGUCUAGUGGCGCACGGGUGCGUAACGCGUGGUAACCUGCCCUUAGGUUCGGAAUCACUCACCUAAAGAUGUGCUAAUACCAGAUAAUGUCUUCGCACCAAAGAUUUCUCGCCUUUGGAUGGGCCCGCGUUGGAUUAGCUAGUUGGUAGGGUACACGCCUGCCAAGGCGACGAUCCAUAGCUGGUCUGAGAGGAUGAUAAACCACACUGGAACUGAGACACGGCCCAGACUCGUACGGGAGGGAGCGGUAGGGAAUAUUAGAGGCUGAGCGAAAGCCUGAUCCAGCAAUGCCGCGUGAGUGAUGAAGGCGUUAGGAUUGUAAAGCUCUUUUACCCGAGAUGAUAAUGACAGUACCGGGAGAAGAAGCUCCGGCUAACUCCGUG
rnacentral:rRNA from 1 species